GCAGUAGCCGCGGGAAUACAGAGGGUGCGAGCGUUAAUCGGAUUUACUGGGCGUAAAGCGUGCGUAGGCGGCUUUUUAAGUCGGAUGUGAAAUCCCUGAGCUUAACUUAGGAAUUGCAUUCGAUACUGGGAAGCUAGAGUAUGGGAGAGGAUGGUAGAAUUCCAGGUGUAGCGGUGAAAUGCGUAGAGAUCUGGAGGAAUACCGAUGGCGAAGGCAGCCAUCUGGCCUAAUACUGACGCUGAGGUACGAAAGCAUGGGGAGCAAACAGGAUUAGAUACCCGCGUAGUCCCUGUCUCUUAUAC
rnacentral:rRNA from 1 species